GUAUAAGGGUUUGAAGAUAGCAAGAGAGAAGUAUGUUGGUAAUGAGAAGGCUCAAUAUGGAAAGCUUAGAGAUUACCUACAAGAACUACACAGAAGCAAUCAUGGUUCAACUGCUCUGUUAGCAGUGGAGCCUAUUCCCCAGUCCCCUCCACUGUUUGACAAGUUGUAUGUGUGCUUGGAUGCUUGUAAAAAAGGGUUUAGGGCUGGUUGUCGACCGUUGAUAGGGUUAGACAGCUGCUUCCUGAAGGGUUAUUAUGGAGGACAACUGCUGUCGGCGGUAGCACAAGAUGCCAACAAUCAUUUUUAUGUAAUUGCAUACGCAGUGGUUGCUAGUGAGACUAAAGAAAGUUAGAAAUGGUUUCUAGACUUGUUGCAAAAUGACUUAGGCCCUGCUGCAGUUGAAGGGUGGAACUUCAUCAGUGAUCAGCAAAAGGGUCUGAUGUCGGCGAUGAAGGAGGUUAUGCCGAAUGGCCAUCACAGGAACUGUGUUAGGCAUAUAUGGAGGAAUUUCACCAAUAAGUACAAGAGCAAGCAGUUGAAGAAUGUCGUCUGGGCUUGUGCUAAAAGCAAUACGAAGGCAGAGUUCAGAGAGCACAUGAAUAGACU